UACGGGGGGGCAAGCGUUGUUCGGAAUUACUGGGCGUAAAGGGCUCGUAGGCGGCCAACUAAGUCGGACGUGAAAUCCCCAGGCUCAACCUGGGAACUGCGUCCGAUACUGGAUGGCUUGAAUCCGGGAGAGGGAUGCAGAAUUCCAGGUGUAGCGGUGAAAUGCGUAGAUAUCUGGAGGAAUACCGGUGGCGAAGGCGGCAUCCUGGACCAUUACUGACGCUGAGGCGCGAAAGCUAGGGGAGCAAACGGG
rnacentral:rRNA from 1 species